rnacentral:rRNA from 1 species
GAUGAACGCUGGCGGCGUGCUUAACACAUGCAAGUCGAACGGAAAGGCCUCUGCUUGCAGGGGUACUCGAGUGGCGAACGGGUGAGUAACACGUGGGUGAUCUGCCCUGCACUUCGGGAUAAGCCUGGGAAACUGGGUCUAAUACCGGAUAGGACAAUGGUUUGGAUGCUGUUGUGGAAAGUUUUUCGGUGUGGGAUGAGCUCGCGGCCUAUCAGCUUGUUGGUGGGGUAAUGGCCUACCAAGGCGUCGACGGGUAGCCGGCCUGAGAGGGUGUACGGCCACAUUGGGACUGAGAUACGGCCCAGACUCCGACGGGGGGCAGCAGUGGGGAAUAUUGCACAAUGGGCGCAAGCCUGAUGCAGCGACGCCGCGUGGGGGAUGACGGCCUUCGGGUUGUAAACUCCUUUCGCUAGGGACGAAGCGUUUUUGUGACGGUACCUGGAGAAGAAGCACCGGCUAACUACGUG